rnacentral:lncRNA from 1 species
GCAACUUUGCCAGAGCCAAACAAAAGACUUUUGCUCAGGUGAUCAUUGCAUAUUUAAGCCAACUGCAGGCAGUUUGUUUUCUCCAACCCGCCCUGGAUGCAGGAAACUCCCCUGGCUAAUCCGAAAAACACGGAGGUUUAACUGGUUAUUAUUUCCUAGCAAGUGCUUUGAAGUUGGGUUUGGACCGAGACGACGUUGGCACCAGGCCGGCAAUAUUGGGGCCCUGAUGACCUGUCCUGUAGUUAUCAUCUCAGAGUGCAACCAGAACCGGAGGCCAGAAUCAGACAACCUAGUGAGUUUCCAGGAAGCUGGUUGAAGAAGAGAUAUCAAGAGCAUGAGAAUUAACUGCUGAAAGCAGACAGGGAAGCUUUUGGAUCGAACUUGGGUUUAUUUAAGUUUUUCAUUUUAACACCAUAUUUAAAAAAAUCAAUUCAACUUAUCAAUUAAAAGAACACAAGAGUGAAAAAUCAAAAGGACUGAAAAUAAGACUGUGACACGAAGAAAAUGGACUCUGGUUUAUGAGCAAUCUGAGAAGCUCUCCUUCCCUAUAAUUUUCUGACCAUAUAGUUUCAAGAAAUUUGUUCCAGUGGAUGUGAUAUAGAUGAUUCGAAUAAAAUAAAAAUAGCUCUGCUGACUUUGGGCUUCAUUGGG